UGUGUGUGUGUGUGUGUGUAUGUGUAUCUGUGUUAAUGUGUGUGUCUGUGUGUCACUAUGUUCAGUGUGUAUCCAUGUGUCAGAUACAUAUACACACACACACACACACACA